rnacentral:lncRNA from 1 species
UUGGGCCGACUCAAAGUCCACUUGGGUCGACUCAACUUCUUCUUGGGUCGACCCUCUCAGUAAUUCCAGAGAACCAAUUUCUGUCUGUCUUUCUGUCUUGCCUUUGGGUCGACCCUCUCAGGGUUUGGGUCGACUCAAGCUUGGGUCGACUCAACCACUGUUUGGGUUGACCCUUUCAUUAAAUCCAGAGAGCAUUCUUCAGUUAUGUUUUUGAGGUUCUUCAAGGUUGGGUCGACUCAUGCUUACCUUGGGUCGACCCAACUCACUGUUCAUUUGUGCCAUUUUUUCAGGAGUGUGCCAAAUGAUUUCUUGAUGUGCCGGGGUUGACCCAAUCAACCUUUGGGUCGACUCAAUCCACACUUUGCUGCAUUCUCAAGGUUAGAUUCAUUCAAAUGAACAAGGUUAUGUAUCUAUUUUCAAUUAACCAAAUAUACUGAGAGUAAUGAACUUAUAAAUGAAGUAUCAAUUUAACUUAUAGCAUACUCUAGAUAAUUGCUUGUUAAUCAUCAAAAUAACACUAUCAUCCUC